GUGAGUGGCGAACGGGUGAGUAACACGUGGACAACCUGCCUCAAGGCUGGGGAUAACAUUUGGAAACAGAUGCUAAUACCGAAUAAAACUUAGUGUCGCAUGACAAAAAGUUAAAAGGCGCUUCGGCGUCACCUAGAGAUGGAUCCGCGGUGCAUUAGUUAGUUGGUGGGGUAAAGGCCUACCAAGACAAUGAUGCAUAGCCGAGUUGAGAGACUGAUCGGCCACAUUGGGACUGAGACACGGCCCAAACUCCUACGGGAGGCUGCAGUAGGGAAUCUUCCACAAUGGGCGAAAGCCUGAUGGAGCAACGCCGCGUGUGUGAUGAAGGCUUUCGGGUCGUAAAGCACUGUUGUAUGGGAAGAACAGCUAGAAUAGGAAAUGAUUUUAGUUUGACGGUACCAUACCAGAAAGGGACGGCUAAAUACGUGCCAGCAGCCGCGGUAAUACGUAUGUCCCGAGCGUUAUCCGGAUUUAUUGGGCGUAAAGCGAGCGCAGACGGUUUAUUAAGUCUGAUGUGAAAGCCCGGAGCUCAACUCCGGAAUGGCAUUGGAAACUGGUUAACUUGAGUGCAGUAGAGGUAAGUGGAACUCCAUGUGUAGCGGUGGAAUGCGUAGAUAUAUGGAAGAAACACCCAGUGGCGAAGGCGGCUUACUGGACUGCAACUGACGUUGAGGCUCGAAAAUUGUGGGUAGCAAACAGGGUUAGAUACCCUGGUAGUCCACACCGUAAACGAUGAACACUAGGUGUUAGGAGGUUUCCGCCUCUUAGUGCCGAAGCUAACGCAUUAAGUGUUCCGCCUGGGGAGUACGACCGCAAGGUUGAAACUCAAAGGAAUUGACGGGGACCCGCACAAGCGGUGGAGCAUGUGGUUUAAUUCGAAGCAACGCGAAGAACCUUACCAGGUCUUGACAUCCUUUGAAGCUUUUAGAGAUAGAAGUGUUCUCUUCGGAGACAAAGUGACAGGUGGUGCAUGGUCGUCGUCAGCUCGUGUCGUGAGAUGUUGGGUUAAGUCCCGCAACGAGCGCAACCCUUAUUGUUAGUUGCCAGCAUUCAGAUGGGCACUCUAGCGAGACUGCCGGUGACAAACCGGAGGAAGGCGGGGACGACGUCAGAUCAUCAUGCCCCUUAUGACCUGGGCUACACACGUGCUACAAUGGCGUAUACAACGAGUUGCCAACCCGCGAGGGUGAGCUAAUCUCUUAAAGUACGUCUCAGUUCGGAU
rnacentral:rRNA from 1 species